CCUCUCCUCACCCGAACACACUUCCUUCUUCCCUCUCUCGAUCUCCCCGACCGCUCUUGCUAUCUCUCUCUUGCGGGUGACUCAACGCCAAGGCCGGAGGAGGCUCGCCACCGGAGCUCGACGGAUACCAGCGGGCUCCAGGUCAUCUUCGGCUGAGGGGUUUCUGCUUCGACAGAUUUUAUGACCAAUCGUCGACGAUCGGUGACUAGGGCGCGGCGGGAAGGAGUUGAUUCGCAUCAUCACCGGCUGAUCGAGCCCUUUCCGGUUCUUCUCUUUGAUUUGUCCACUGGAGAAUGGUAUGGAUGGCCACCAGCUGAGGUUGAUCGCGCAAGAUCAUUGGGAAGUGAUCGAUUUAGAGGGAUGCACCAAAUCAGCAUAUGGAUGAAUUUUCCUUGAAGCCGAUCAUUGCAUUCCGUUUAUUGCGGCUGAUUGAGUCUCGGUUGGGGGAUUAUGGAUCAGUUGAGGUAAGGUCCUAUUGUGUUAAUGUUUCAGUAAUUAAUUUCUGUACAAUUAGGUUCUGGAUCGAGUUUUUGGAAGAAUUGGUGGAGGGGUUCUGUUGUAGCUUCUGGACAGUGGUUGGCUAGUUGUUCGCUACGGGAUUUGCUGCCAUCUCUCAAGGACCUUGUUUCGAGAUGAGCGUCUCGACGUGGGAUUGGUUUAUCUGACACGAUCGACAGAUAAAGGCAGGUAUUUC